GGAAGUCAUCUUUCUCUGUGGAAGAACAACGAAGGAGGACGCAUGGAGGUUGUAUGCGCUCGCACCAAUAUUAUUAUUAUGUGCAACAACUUGUUGAGUUCCCCGUUCAGGCAACAGCGUUCAUGGACUUGAAGGGUGUUGAAGGAUCCAGACACGGAUGCAUCCUUUGUUGUACUGGAGUUUUUCUUUUGGGGACAGAUGGUGCUGGCUAUGCCAGUAGUGUACUGAGAUUUGAUUGGCUGGCAGGGUACUGAAGACGCUAUAAGAGAUCUACACCAGGGGUGUCACUCAUUCCAUAGAGAGCCUAGUGUCUGUGGAUUUUCCUUUCAGUUAAGGCUUAGACAACCAGGUGAUGGAGUGACCUUAACUCGUCAAUCAAGUACAGGGAGCAGUGAAAACCUGCAUACACUCUGCCCUUCGUGCAAUGAGUGACACGCAAUCUACAUCUUGUUUUUGGUGAGUUAGGCCUAUCCCUUCUCGUUUCCACUGGCAUUAACUGACUAGUUUUCAACCAGCCCACUUGAGUGGCCUGUUUGAAAUCUGUUUUGCCUUCGGUUAAUGUUGUGAUGAGUUAUCAUUUUUGCCGUUUACCCAUCAGACCAUUAUUGGGGUGCUGAUAGUGUGACUAACUGAACUACCAUUAUUCUGAGAUAUUUUACAUUGUCUAUCAAAUGAUCAUUUUAAGAUUCUGUUCUUUCGUAGAGUUUAAUGGGCCAGGAUGUAUAUUGAAGACUGACGUAGAUCUUGCCCUGUGAUUGGGUUUGAUGAUCCAGUAUGUGGAAUAUGAAGACUUCUAUCUCAACCCUAUGGUGAGUGUGAGGGCUAAAUAGCCAAUUGGUUUCCUUCAGUCUUCUACUGGAGUUGUGAUGACUUCUCACUUUUGCUGUUUACUGAUCUGACUAAAUUGGGAUGCUGUGACUAACUGAACUGCCAAUAUUAGCAUUGAUCAUUACAGGUAGACGCAGCAGCGAUAUGGUAAAGGGGAUAGUGGGUCAAUUUCCACAAGUGUUGAAGCGUGAGCAUCUUGCUUAGCUCAAUAUCUGCGGUGCACCUCGCAGGGUCUACCUUCAAUCCCUGACUAAGGUUUGAGACUCUUAUUUCAUCAUGCAGGAUUGUUAGGCCUGUAGUAGGGGAGUUAUUUCCUGGGUUGAGAGGUGUCAACUAAGAUUUUUCUACCCGUGUUCAUUCAUUUUAAAUGGAAUUAAUGCCAUUUCUGCUAAUUUACCCUGCUGAAAAGCCAUUCAUUUGAAUUACCAGCAUUGCAACUACACCCACAAUGGUAGAAAGUUGUAGGUUGAUGGCUAAUCUCAUUAGACAAUGGUCAUUUAUUUAACUGAUUUCUUCUAUUCAUUGACAAUUCACAAGGUUUGGAAAGCGGUGCAUGAACUCCUUCACAAAUGUGACCUUGGAGACCUAAACUAUCACCAUUCUUGCCUGUCAAAAAAGCACAACCUUGGUCUGACUCCCCUGCUUAAGGUUAAAUGUUUAUUUUAUUCUGCCCUGUUAUGAAAUAAAAUAUUUUAUGGUACAUUAAUCGCAAUUUUUUUUCUGGCUACAUUGAAACAUCAAUGUUACAGUUCAUGUAUUAGACCCUAAUCAAUGGAUUUCAAUUGACUGCAGGUGCGUAGCCAUGGGAGGGAAUAGGCUCAGUCAGAAUUAGUUUUAUCACCUGUCUGGGUGGCUUAUCGCAGGUGAGGCCGGUCGGAUGUACUGCCAAAUUCUCAUUCAAUACUCUGGUGGACAUUCUUGCAGUCAAGCAUGCUAAUUCCACUCUCCCUCAACCUGAUGUGGCUACAGCAAUCAUGCUGUUUAAUCAGCUACUUGGUAUGACACCUGUCACGUGGAUGGAUUAUCUUGGCAGAGGAGAAAUGCUCAAUGUGAAGCGCUUUGUGCGUAUGGAACAUUUCUGGGAUCAAUACGUUGCAUUUCUUUAUUCUUCUGAGUAGCUCAUUUCACCAUUGAAAUUCAAUAUAGAAAAAUCCUUUAACUUAGCUGUGGUCCUAUUCCUCCUCAGUGAUGUAGCUGGCGGCCCCGGGUGCGUAGGCGUAGACAAAGUGCAGGAUGUUCUGUUGGAGCUGCUCCAGGAUAAGGUCUCUCCUGUGGAGAGCUUCCAGGUCACACAGGUCACAGGGAAAUGCUGCGUCGGGUGGGAUAACGAGCGCUGAGGCUCCUGUAGGUAGAGGGAGCAGUCCCCAGACCAACUAUCAGGGAAAAUCUAAACUGCAGUCCACACUGACUGCUAUUACUAGAGCAAAGAAGAUAAUGGCCAGGAUACUCUUGCCUGUAGAAAUCCCCACUCACUGACAUUAAAGCAAGACCUAGGCAUGGCUGCGGGAUUCUUCACCAUGCUCUGCUGAUGUAUUUUUCUCUCCAUAUACAGGAGUAUUAAAGACUUUGCACUAGUUUGGGGGCUGCAGCACUGCUAUGGAUCUAGGGGUGUGGCACCCUAGACCAAAGAAAGGUUGGACUGCGACAUCUCUAGAAAUGGUGCCGAGUCUGGAGGGGUUUGUUCUUUGACUGUUAAUUAGCUACGAUGUGUGAUUUCAACAUGGCAGCAAAUGGGAUCUAUGAGUUUGGCUGCUGACUUGGCCUUCGGUCCUGUGUGUCAUACCAUGUCUGAGAGUGAUGGAGUUUUCACACAGCAACACAGCGAUCACUGCAUCCUCCUCCAGCACUGUGCUUCUCAGACACAGUUUACUGUGGGCCUCAGCCAGGGAGAUCCUGGAAGAAACAUGCCAAUAAAGACAAUUAGAAGUAAACAAAUGUCUAGUUUUUAGCUAAGCAGAAUUUACUGUGAGUAAUGGUACAGUUACUAACUGGCAAUGAAAUGCACCAUGUAGGAACAGACCAUCAGAUCUGGAAAAACCUGUCUUAGUGAUAAGCCUUUUGUAUAUCUAUAUAGUGCCACUGAUGAAAUUGUGUAAAAAUAAACUCUCCGAUACCACUGAAAAUAUUUUCCAGCCUACACAAAAAAGUCUAGACUCGGGCACCCAUUUAUUGGUUCUGUAAAUGAAUGAUUGCGCUCCACCCUGUGGAGAAAUAUGACAUUACAGAGAACUCUUCUAAAGCUGCAGGUGCCCUGAGAAUUUGAAUGGAUUUUUCUCUUACAGUUAAAUCGGAUUUGACAAAGGCCCAAGUUAAACACUAAAAUAAGUAAAAGGGUGAUGUGUAUAAAUAUUAAACAUGGUAUUUUUUAAAUGAAUAACCCUCAGCAUGUGGUAGGCCCUUACAGUAGCUUGAUGGAGGCCACAGACACCUUUGCACCAUGGCCCGAGUCUGAGCGGACCCUUCUGCUGGCCAUGUAAUAGCCAUGGAUCAUCAUCUCUGCCCCAGGGCUCAGCUCUGUCUGGAUCCUCUGGGUGUGGGCCACAAGCUAGGGGAAGGAAGAGCCCCUCAAUGUCCUGUGUGGUGAACUGCAUGCAGGAUGGGUAGAGGGGCUCUCCAGGCUGCACUGCCUGUCUGAGGGUGUGAACCGUCUGGGCUAGCAGGGCCUGCUUUCCCCCUGCCUCCCGACACAGGAUCACCAGACCAAAGGCCUCAGCCAACUGGGCAGGGACCGGGCCCAUGUCCUACACACACAAUGGAUCACAGAUUUUCAUGUGGCUGGUAGCUAAUUUUGUUAAAAUACAUUAACAUGGAAAUACUAUAUUUACCACUAGAGUACUGUUUCUUGUCCAUCCUGAAUAGGCACAGGCCAAAGUGGAAGAGAACCUGAAAGCGUUUGUUUGGACAGCAGCCUGUUCCAUGAGUGGAACAAUUAACUACAUCCUCUGAAGAGAGUAAAUUGUCUCCCCUUCCUGCUUUGCCUACAUAAAGCAAACGCCUAAACAGACAAUUGGCUGGCUCAGAUUUGACAUUUCGGGAACACAUAUUUGCCAGUGCUAUUGGCAUUGUGUGGUAGGAGAAAAGGUUUCAAACUGCUCACAUGGAAUAGCAUUGUUGCAGAAUCACCAUAUCAGACAACAACCCAAUGGGGGCACUCACAUUUAUCAAGUGCAGUAGUCCAAUAAAUUUGAAUGGUAAUGUAAAUUCAACAACUAUGACCCACCACUGUUCCCAGCACUGUACUGUCAGUCCUGGUGGUCUUGUUUGAGGGAGCUGUGGAGUCUGCCAAGGCCCAGAAGCUGCACUGGACAGGGAAGGAGAUCUGCUGGUCAGCAUCCUCUCCAUACUUCUUCCCUGGGAUGAUCACAGACACUGUCCGACUCUCCAGAGCUGGGUGGGGAAGGAGAGCGGUCAAAGGAGGUGUCAUAAUGUUGCAUUGCUACAGCUGUAUCAGACUGGCUCCAGGCUACAAGGUAAGCAGGGCUCUGUACCUGACUGAAGGGCAUCCAUCUUAUCUUUCCUGUGGUGGCCCAGGUCCCCGAGCAUGCAGACGCCUCCAGUGGCCAGCAGGGCGGAGCCAGCGUGGAUGUUAGCCGUGCCCGCUCCGUGUUCAUCACGAGAAAGAGAGGCAAACAUCUCCCCUGUCGCAGGGUGUCUCACCCCACGGCCAGCCAGACCCAGGCUGUACGUCAUCAGCCUAAGACGGGGGUAACGGAGGCUGGCUCUCAACUAUUUAUUUAUAGGCAUAGUAUAAUUUUACUGUAGUAAUGUUAUUGUUUUGGCCAUUGUAUUGUGCUUCCUAAGAACAUGGUUGAUUGAUUGACUGAUUCAGA